GGGCUCCGACCUUCUGGACGCGGGAGCCGGCCACGUGGCUCCGGGGCUACACCGUGCCCUUCCUAGGUGCGCCCCCGCCCCUCGCUGCCCGCCUCGGCCUCGGCUCGGCGCCGCGGGGAAGCCUCCGUUAGGGCCCCUCGGGGUGGGGGCGUCCUCAUGGCGCCUGGGCCCUGCGUCCCGGGUUAGGACGGCCCGUGUCCUUAUGCGCUUGAAAGGGCCACUCCCUUUCCUCGAGGAUCCCACCCCCACUCAGCAGAAGCUGCCAGGCGCCGGUCACCUCGCGUGCCUGAGUCCCUGCAGUCCACGGAUCCGGCCUACAGGCAGCUUUUAGUCCUUUUUCAAUUAAAUGAUUGCAUUUUGAGGAUCAAAUUACGACCGCAGGCGGAGGCGCCGAGCCCCGGAUGGUCUCUGGGUUCUUGGCGCACUCUGGGCUCCCGCCUGCCCAGUGGCUGUGGCCGCUCGGACGUAAGCCUAUUUAGGAAGUGAGUGACAUCUGAUGUCUGAAGCGCUUUAAGUUUCCAAGCGGGGCAGUGUAAUAGCGGGGUUAGCAAACACACGGAGGUCACUUCACUCGCGCAGCCACCCCCCUCCGCCACCAGUGCCGUUCAGUUGCCACUGGCCCGCAGUCGGGUAAUUUAAAGGCUUUGACGGACGAGUCUUGCUGGAGCCGACGCCUGCAGUGAGUUUACAGUAGAAUGCUGUGAGCCCUAAGAGGGCCUGCGGUUUCCUCCCCAAGAUCCGCUUUUUCAGGAGUGGCCAGAGCGUUGUUACAGCACAGGAUCCGCUUCCAGCGUUUAAUCAGGGUGUGAGGAGGCCCUUCUUGGUUUUCUGUCCUGGGAAAAGUCUGAACUACUGGGCUCUGACUCGGACCAGGACAAGGUGUUGAAUGCCUAACUUGUCUACUAAGGUGUUGAAAUACGCAAGGCUGCCCCUACAGAACGUUUGUCUGGGGGACAAUGUAAGUUUUUGGAGCGGCUCUCUUGAGCAUCGGUGAGCAUACUAAUUGUUCAUUACUGAUACAAAUUGCCAUAUAAAAGGACACUUUGCGAAUUUAGUAAAAUUGAUAAAGAUCUAAAUUUACAUUUGAGUCAACAUAUGAAUAUUUGUGGCUAUCAUAGGUACCACAGUUCUGCUGAAAUGUGAAGCUCGUGGUUCACGCGUUUUCCUCAGUUGUGAAAGAUUUGUUGCCUUUUUGAUGAAACCAAAUGGGACCCAUUUUACCAUGCUGUAAUGAGGAAAGCUUGUGCAUUUGCAGCCUAGGUUCUAGGCACCUUUUUUCCAGAUAGGCCCAGAGCAUGGACAAUUUUCCCUCCCUGGAAUACCUCCAGCUGUAGCCAAGAGCCCUACAGGCAGCACAGGAAGAUAGCAGUGGCUUGGUGGAGUUUCAAGAUGCUAAUGAACUUAAGGUCUGGCGCUUGAAAGAAUCAGUGAAGCUUUUCAAGUAGAGGAGAUAUAAUUGAAUAUGUAACCUUUAGUAUCUACAGAACACAGGAUUAUGCCACCAUGACUAGAAGACCCCCUAAUGGAGUUUAUCUGCACUGCAAGGAGCCACUUGUCUCGGAAUCAUCCUCUGUUGAUAUCUGCAUCUCCAGGACAGCUCCACACCAAUCUGUUUCAAAGACAAAGACAAAAUCCGGUCAAAUCAGUUUGAUGUAUGUUUCCGGGAACAGAGUCGAAUGUUGUAGCUGAUGGAAUGGAGUCUCAUACCAUUGAUUUUUGCAGCUGGACAAGUGCCCUGCCCUGUUACUGCCACUCUUUAAGGCAGAAUAGAGGACACUGUAUAAUUUAUAGGCCUCUCAGUGAGAAAUACGUGGAACUAUGGGAAUCAGAAUCUAAAACUGCAGUCCAAUGGGGUAGCCACUAUUCACAUGUGCUACUGAGCACCCAAAAUGUGGCUAGACCAAGUUGACAUGUGCUGAAGGGUGAAAAACAUCAGGAGUGUAAACUAUCUCAAUUUUAUAUUAAUUACAAAUUAAAUGUUUUGAAUA